UCCAGCUUCACGAACCCGGGUUGCAGACUUCGAUCCGAACUGAGAGAGGUUUUUGGGAUUGGCAUCCGGUCGCCCGGUAGCUGCCCUCUGUACCCCCCAUUGUAACACGUGUGUAGCCCCGGACGUAAGGGCCGUGCUGAUUUGACGUCAUCCCCACCUUCCUCACAUCUUACGACGGCAGUCUCACUAGAGUCCUCAGCAUGACCUGUUAGUAACUAAUGAUAAGGGUUGCGCUCGUUAUGGCACUUAAGCCGACACCUCACGGCACGAGCUGACGACAACCAUGCAGCACCUUCACAGAGGCCUUGCGGCUAUAAUCUUUCAACUAUAUUCCUCUGCAAUUCAAGCCCGGGUAAGGUUCCUCGCGUAUCAUCGAAUUAAACCACAUGUUCCUCCGCUUGUGCGGGCCCCCGUCAAUUCCUUUGAGUUUCACCGUUGCCGGCGUACUCCCCAGGUGGAAUACUUAAUGCUUUCGCUUGGCCGCUUACUGUAUAUCGC
rnacentral:rRNA from 1 species